rnacentral:ncRNA from 1 species
GGAGGAGUUCGAAGGUACGCUUGGUACGGUCGGACAUCGUACCUAAAGUGCAAUGGCAAAAGCGUGCUUAACUGCGAGACCGACAAGUCGAGCAGGUGCGAAAGCAGGACAUAGUGAUCCGGUGGUUCUGUAUGGAAGGGCCAUCGCUCAACGGAUAAAAGGUACUCUGGGGAUAACAGGCUGAUACCGCCCAAGAGUUCAUAUCGACGGCGGUGUUUGGCACCUCGAUGUCGGCUCAUCUCAUCCUGGGGCUGUAGCCGGUCCCAAGGGUAUGGCUGUUCGCCAUUUAAAGAGGUACGUGAGCUGGGUUUAAAAGCGUCGUGAGACAGUUUGGUCCCUAUCUGCCGUGGGCGUUGGAAUCUUGACGGGGGCUGCUCCUAGUACGAGAGGACCGGAGUGGACGUACCGCUGGUGUACCUGUUGUCUCGCCAGAGGCAUCGCAGGGUAGCUAUGUACGGAAGAGAUAACCGCUGAAAGCAUCUAAGCGGGAAACUUGCCUGAAGAUGAGGAUUCCCUGGAGACUUGAUCUCCCUGAAGGGUCGUUCGAGACCAGGACGUUGAUAGGCUGGGUGUGGAAGCGCAGUAAUGCGUUCAGCUAACCAGUACUAAUUGCCCGUGCGGCUUGAUCCU